rnacentral:rRNA from 1 species
AUGUUUCCUUUGAAUUUAGAAGAAGAGAUUCCAGCCAUAAGAUUCUUAAGUUCGUUGGCUCUGCGGCCGCAUCAUGGCAAGACGGCCACAAGGCAGCUAUUGCAUCCAGGCACACAAAGGCCACUGAUUGGAUCAGCGCGAAGAAACCCGUUCGGAUUGCCGCCGCAAGCCUCGCGUCAACAACAAAUCAACGUCUGCACCUACAUCCACUUCGACAGGCCGUCAGUCAAAGCAGAAAUUGCAGGAUGUUAUCUGCAUCAAUGA